UUAAAAUUUCAAGGGAUUGUCGUGGUCCCCCCCAAGGCAGUGGAGCGCUUGGGUUUAUUGAUGGUAAGGGAAGAACCUUACCAGGGCUGAAACUAUAGCUGCAUCUUUGGGUAAAAGCCAGAGAGCCUUCGAGGGUGCUAUAGAGGUGCUGCAUGGCUGUCGUCAGCUCGUGUCGUGAGAUGUAGGGUUAAGUCCCGCAACGAGCGCAACCCCUAUUCGCUGUUAAAAUUUCUGCGAAAACUGCCUCGCCAAAACGAGGAGGAAGGUGGGGAUGACGUCUAGUCCUCAUAGCCCUUAUGUCCUGGGCUACACAAGCGCUACAAUGGGUGGUACAAAGGGUUGCCAAACCGCAAGGUGGAGCUAAUCCCAAAAAACCAUCCUCAGUUCAGAUUGUCGGCUGCAAUUCGCCGGCAUGAAGUCGGAAUUGCUAGUAAUCGCGGAUCAGCAUGCCGCGGUGAAUACGUUCUCGGGUUUUGUACACACCGCCUGUCAAGCUACGGAAAUCGGUUCCGCCCGACGGUCCCUCAUAAGAGGGAACUAAGGCAGGGCUGGUAACUAGAGCUAAGUCGUAACAAGGUAUCCGUAA
rnacentral:rRNA from 1 species